GACGAACGCUGGCGGCGUGCCUAACACAUGCAAGUCGAGCGAAUGAAGUUUCUUCGGGAACGGAUUUAGCGGCGGACGGGUGAGUAACACGUGGGCAACCUGCCUCAUAGAGGGGAAUAGCCUUCCGAAAGGGAGAUUAAUACCGCAUAAGAUUGUAGUACCGCAUGGUACAGCAAUUAAAGGAGCAAUCCGCUAUGAGAUGGACCCGCGUCGCAUUAGCUAGUGGUGAGGUAACGGCUCACCAAGGCGACGAUGCGUAGCCGAGUUGAGAGACUGAUCGGCCACAUUGGGACUGAGACACGGCCCGAAACUCCUACGGGAGGCAGCAGUAGGGAAUCUUCCGACAAUGGACGCAAGUCUGAUGGAGCAACGCCGCGUGACGUG
rnacentral:rRNA from 1 species